UGCCUAGCCGUAACAAUUAACUUACACCAAUAAGCGCCAGGGAAUUACGAGCAAUGCUUAAAACCCAAAGGAUUUGACGGUGUCCCACCCCCCUAGAGGAGCCUGUUUUUUAAUCGAUGAUCCCCGAUAUACCCGACCACUCCUAGCUAUUCAGUCUGUAUACCUCCGUCGAAAGCCUACCAUGUGAACGUUUUCAGUAGGCCCAAUGAUCCCCGUCAAUACGUCAGGUCAAGGUGCAGCUCACGGGAUGGGAAGUAAUGGGCUACAAUUUCUAAACUAGAACAAACGAAAGACUCUGUGAAAUCAUAGUCGCGAAGGCGGAUUUAGUAGUAAAAAGAAAAUAGAGAGUUCUUUUUAACUUGGCUCUGGGACGCGU
rnacentral:rRNA from 1 species